rnacentral:lncRNA from 1 species
AAAAACAGUUGUACCCUUGACAUUUUGGAUAUGAAUUAUUUUAUGUCUGUCAAGAUAUUUGGUACUGCAGAUAUAAAAUGAUAAAGUACCCUUGGUGCAUAGCACAUGGAACAGAUUUUCAAGGUGGCUUCAGAAAGAAUUUACAGUGUAUCUGAAGGAAACACCAGCAAGGAAAAAGUCUGUCUAAGAGAAAAUACUCUGAAGACCUAAUGAAUCUAAUUUACAUGUUGAGAUUUUAGACAAGAAAUACAUGGUGAGAUGAAGCAGUGAGUAGUAGGAUAUGGACUGACCUAUACACAGGCCAUGGUGAAUCCCAGCAGUGCCAAUCUCUCUCUCAUGAUUAAGCAAAGAUGAAGCUGGUAAACAGCAGACAGCAGGGUUUGGAAUUGCUCAGUUUCCUGUGGAUUAUCCUCGCUCACAGAGUUUUUGAAGUCUGAUAGAGCCAAAGAAUCCUGAUAGAUUCUUUGAAAAAGAGAAAGCAGAAGAGAAAAGCUCACAAAAAAGGUGGGGUACUGUUAUAGGAGGUAUGAUCAGCAAAUCCAGGGCCACUCACAUUACCAAAGCAGUUCAUUUCUUAAUUCUUGUUUAUUUUCUCCCCUAGCAUCUAGCAGCAUCCUGUCCCUGCUACAGGUGAGAACUUCAACUCAUAGUAUGUCACCAGCCUACAAAAACCUACACUGAUUGACAGCCACCUCCUUGACUACGGUACAGAGGUCUGAACWGCUGAAGUCCAGGACAGAGGAACUGCUUGAAUGCCUAGGCCUUUUUCCAACUUUUAUCCUGUGAUUCUUGGGAAGACCUGCAGGAACUGUACGACUGUUAUCUUAUUGACAAAAAGCAGCAAAAACAGCACACAGGCACAAGUAAAAGCGCUGGUGCUUAARUGAAACAAAUCUUCAUGCACACGCCUUCAAGCAUUUAGGAGCUAUACAGGUAUGAAUGUGGAUGAAAAAUAGGUGUACCUGAAGAGACAUAAAAUUGAAAAACAAA